GAUAAACGCUGGCGGCGUGCAUUAGACAUGCAAGUCGAACGGACUUCUCGGGGCUUGCUCUGAGAAGUUAGUGGCGGACGGCUGAGUAACGCGUAGGUGACCUAUCCCGAAGUGGGGAAUAACUGCCCGAAAGGGUGGCUAAUACCGCAUGUGAUCGUGAGUUCAAUCGCACGAUCAAAGCCGUAAGGCGCUUUGGGAGGGGCCUGCGUCCGAUUAGCUCGUUGGUGGGGUAAGGCUCACCAAGGCGACGAUCGGUAGGUGGUCUGAGAGGACGAUCACCCAGACUGGGACUGAGACACGGCCCAGACUCCUACGGGAGGCAGCAGUCGGAAUUUUGCUUCAAUGGGCGCAAGCCUGAAGCAGCAACGCCGCGUGAGGGAU
rnacentral:rRNA from 1 species